UGAUUGGUGCAAAUGUCAAGUUGAAAGU
rnacentral:sRNA from 1 species